AUUGAACGCUGGCGGCAGGCCUAACACAUGCAAGUCGAACGGUAACAGGAAGAAGCUUGCUUCUUUGCUGACGAGUGGCGGCCGGGUGAGUAAUGUCUGGGAAACUGCCUGAUGGAGGGGGAUAACUACUGGAAACGGUAGCUAAUACCGCAUAACGUCGCAAGACCAAAGAGGGGGACCUUCGGGCCUCUUGCCAUCGGAUGUGCCCAGAUGGGAUUAGCUAGUAGGUGGGGUAACGGCUCACCUAGGCGACGAUCCCUAGCUGGUCUGAGAGGAUGACCAGCCACACUGGAACUGAGACACGGUCCAGACUCCUACGGGAGGCAGCAGUGGGGAAUAUUGCACAAUGGGCGCAAGCCUGAUGCAGACAUGCCGCGUGUAUGAAGAAGGCCUUCGGGUUGUAAAGUACUUUCAGCGGGGAGGAAGGGAGUAAAGUUAAUACCUUAGCUCAUUGACGUUACCCGCAGAAGAAGCACCGGCUAACUCCGUG
rnacentral:rRNA from 1 species